rnacentral:ncRNA from 1 species
AGAUGCCGCCCUGUUUCAGGUGCCUUAUGCCGCCGUGCAUAGGGUGAAACGGGAAACCGGUACGCUCGUUCGAGCAAGUCCGGUGCUGCCCCCGCAACGGUAUUCGCGUGGCCCCUUCGACACACCACUGUGGCCAGAGCGCCAUGGGAAGGUGAAGGGUUCGAUACGCGAGAGCCCGGAGACCGGCCUGGAAUUUCUGUUUGGC